GAAAUACUCCCUCCGCCUGGAAUUACUUGUCACAGAAAUGGAUAAAAAUAGAUGUAUCUAGAACUAAAAUAUGUCUAGAUACAUUCAUUUCUCCAAUAAGUAAUUCUGGGCGGAGGGAGUACUAG
rfam:Triticum aestivum genome assembly, contig: Triticum_aestivum_CS42_TGACv1_scaffold_196038_3AL